GCAUUUUUAGGCAGUUAAGCUGCCUUAUGCGAGCACCCUAGAUUUGUGUUCUACCCAAUAAAUGCUGAAAUAUGUGCCAUUGGUAUUAUCUACCUGGAUGUAAUGUUAUUUAUAACUAAUUGGACAGUUUUUUCAUACUUUUAAUUCUUGAUUACAAAAAAUAUGACCAGAAAAACCUUAAAUGAUUGUUGAUUAUCCAAAAGUUUUGAAGUUGCACAUAGGAAGUAGGGCACAUUAGGAAUCUUUAUGUAGUUUAUUAUCCCCUGAGAUUUUGGCUAAGCUGUCAAAGAACA
rnacentral:lncRNA from 1 species